rnacentral:rRNA from 1 species
AUCAGCAUGCCGCGUGUGUGAAGAAGGCCUUCGGGUUGUAAAGCACUUUUGUCCGGAAAGAAAUCGCGCUGGCUAAUACCUGGCGUGGAUGACGGUACCGGAAGAAUAAGCACCGGCUAACUACGUGCCAGCAGCCGCGGUAAUACGUAGGGUGCGAGCGUUAAUCGGAAUUACUGGGCGUAAAGCGUGCGCAGGCGGUUUUGUAAGACAGGCGUGAAAUCCCCGAGCUCAACUUGGGAAUGGCGCUUGUGACUGCACGGCUAGAGUAUGUCAGAGGGGGGUAGAAUUCCACGUGUAGCAGUGAAAUGCGUAGAGAUGUGGAGGAAUACCGAUGGCGAAGGCAGCCCCCUGGGACGUCACUGACGCUCAUGCACGAAAGCGUGGGGAGCAAACAGGAUUAGAUACCCUGGUAGUCCACGCCCUAAACGAUGUCAACUAGUUGUUGGGGAUUCAUUUCCUCAGUAACGUAGCUAACGCGUGAAGUUGACCGCCUGGGGAGUACGGUCGCAAGAUUAAAACUCAAAUGAAUUGACGGA